GAUUAAUACCGCAUAAGAUUGUAGUAUCGCAUGAUAUAGCAAUUAAAGGAGCAAUUCGCUAUAAGAUGGACCCGCGUCGCAUUAGCUAGUUGGUGAGGUAAUGGCUCACCAAGGCGACGAUGCGUAGCCGACCUGAGAGGAUGACCAGCCACACUGGAACUGAGACACGGUCCAGACUCCUACGGGAGGCAGCAUG
rnacentral:rRNA from 1 species